rnacentral:rRNA from 1 species
AUCUUGGUUCAGGACGAACGCUGGCGGCGUGCCUAAUACAUGCAAGUCGAACGGUCUUUCUAUGGAAGCUUGCUUCCACUGAGAAGAUAGUGGCGGACGGGUGAGUAACACGUGGGUAACCUGCCCAUAAGAGGGGGAUAACAUCCGGAAACGGGUGCUAAUACCGCAUAGUUUUCUUGAUCGCAUGAUCGAGAAAGGAAAGACGGCCUUUGUGCUGUCGCUUAUGGAUGGACCCGCGGCGUAUUAGUUAGUUGGUGAGGUAACGGCUCACCAAGACGAUGAUACGUAGCCGACCUGAGAGGGUGAUCGGCCACAUUGGGACUGAGACACGGCCCAAACUCCUACGGGAGGCAGCAGUAGGGAAUCUUCCGCAAUGGACGAAAGUCUGACGGAGCAACGCCGCGUGAGUGAAAGAAGGUUUUCGGAUCGUAAAACUCUGUUGUCAGAGAAGAACAAGUCGGAGAGUAACUGCUCCGGCCUUGACGGUAUCUGACCAGAAAGCCACGGCUAACUACGUGCCAGCCGCGGC